UCUUCUCACAACAAACUGAAAAGGACUGGUUGUUAAUCCUUCUCUUCUCAGUAUCCUCAUAGGUACCUCCAUCAAAGUACCAGGUAGCCUCACCUGAAAUCUUGACUCUACUGUGGCAGCUGGGCUGCUAAGGCACCCCAAAGAGGCUCAGAGGCAAAGCACAUGGAGCAGAACCAAUAGUGAACGAAGACUGUGUGCUAAUGCAUUCCAUGACAAGGGAUGGGCAGCGGAGCAGCCUUCUGUUCUUUAUAGAAACAAUGCCACAGAGACCACCAUCAAGAUGUAUGGAAAACCCAUGAGAAAAAUAACCCGUUUCUUUGAAAAAUACCAACAUUGACCUUUCCUCCCAACUGCAUGAGAGUGUGUGUGUACAGAAGCAUGGUUAUCCUGCACGGCAUGAAGAGGACGGGUGCAGCUUUAUCCUAUCAAUUGUCCUGCUCACAGCAGGCAAAAGCAGAUGGAUCCUGCAAGAAGAGAAUAGUUUUCAACUGCACCUCUCUGGG